rnacentral:rRNA from 1 species
CGGAGGGUGCAAGCGUUAUCCGGAAUCAUUGGGUUUAAAGGGUCCGCAGGCGGUCUUAUAAGUCAGUGGUGAAAGCCUACAGCUUAACUGUAGAACUGCCGUUGAUACUAUCUGUCUUGAAUAUUGUGGAGGUGAGCGGAAUAUGUCAUGUAGCGGUGAAAUGCUUAGAUAUGACAUAGAACACCAAUUGCGAAGGCAGCUCGCUACGCAUAUAUUGACUCUGAGGCACGAAAGCGUGGGGAUCAAACAGGAUUAGAUACCCUGGUAGUCCACGCCCUAAACGAUGGAUACUCGACAUACGCGAUACACUGUGUGUGUCUGAGCGAAAGCAUUAAGUAUCCCACCUGGGAAGUACGACCGCAAGGUUG